AGUUGAGGCAUACUUUUUAUUCAUGUCUUCUCUGCAGACAUUUGAAAGCGUAAAGGGAGGGUGUGGAGGAUGUCUUUUUUUUUCUCUCCCUCUCUCUCUCUCCCUCUCUCCCUCCCUCCCUCUCUCUCUCUCUCUCCUGAAUUAUUCAUAGUGUCAGUGGUGAAGCCAGGACUAUUAGCAUGCAUCAGACAUGCUGUUUGUCUGUUUGCUAACAUUCUUCAUUCAAGACUUGUUAACUACCAGACAAGCUUAACACGCUUCUCUUUUUCCCCUCCCCUUCCCUCUCUCUCUCUCUCUCUCUGUCUCUGUCUCUCCGUGCCUGCCUCCCCUCAUUUCUCCCUUCCCUUCCCUUUCAUGCCACCCCUCGCAGCCUCCCAUUGUUGUUGCCGGGAGCUGGCAGCCAGGGCUGGCGGUGGCAGGGGGAAGCAUGCGGACGAGGGAGCCGGAGCCCGGUUGCUAGCACAUUAGCCUGGAUGCAGUCUCCCUGUAAGGAGCGUGAAAUUUACAGCUGCAGAACUACAGUUUUAAGCCACAAAAGCUCUUCCUCAUCUGAACCUUCAUUCAAAACACAGGAUGAAAGUAGCUGAAGAAAAGUUGUUUAUGACAUCGUCUGCAGGACUCUGAGAAAAUUCUUCGGGAACUUGAGCAUGUCUGUCUUAGGCUGCCCCUAAAAAAAUGAAGUAUUAAUCUGGUAAGAUGAAAUCAAGAUGUAUGAAGAGAAGAUAUUAGAGACUAUUCUGCAAGGUGUUCAGAUCCACUGAUAACACGCAAACUGGAGCCUGCUUGCUGUUGUCUGAGAUAUGACAUCACAGCUAACAAGGGAGACUAAGAAGUAGAUGCCAGACAGAAGUAUCUUGGAUACAUGUACAAUGAAAUCUCAGAGCUGCAAGCAAAGUCUGGAAUUACGUAACAAGGAGUAAGUUUUCCAACUGCGGCAGAUUGCCAUGUAAGGAGAGCUGGCAUAAGCGAGGAGCGACAGAGGAAUCGCCAUGCCUGACUACAGACCUCUGCGGAAAUACAAUAGAGUGACUUACUGGGGAACCCUUGCUAACCAAGUCAGAAAAUGAAAGAACUGGAGACUGGUCAUCUGUGCAGAGGAAACGACGAGUCUCUUUACAGGUCUCGUCUUCCCUGGAUGCUGGCCUCCCCCUGCUUUCCGAGCGGGAUGAUGCGAUGUUCGUCGUUCCUGCCAGGGAGAGCUCGGGAAGGCGGCGCAGCAGGAGUUACUUGGCUGCGGCUCCUCGCAGCCGUACGGCGCUUCGCAGCCAUCUUAGCUGUGGGCAGAAAGCCCGUCAGGACUCGCACCACGCGUCAGCUGAUCAGUUAAAGGAGCUGUCAUCAGUCAUGUCACCUUCUUGGAUACCAUCGUUAACCUUUAACUGACUUUAACAUGGCUCCGCAUAAGAGUAAGGAACCUCCUGUGCAGGUCCAGGCUGGUGGUCAAGCUGUGGUUCCUGGAGACAUCAAGCAAGCAAAUCUGCUGGGCUCCUGCUGGACAGCCUCCAGCACCGUGUGCAUUACAAAUCUGGGGAACUACAGGCUGCGGAGCUGCAGGUAUCAUCAGUGCUGCGAGGCUGAUGCAUGAAGAGGAGUCGGUGGAAAAGGGUACGAUUUAGCCUGCCCUUAACAGCAGCACACAAAACCUGAGUGACAGGGGUAUUAACCAAACAUUUUAAGCUAUUAGGCAUAUCUCUGAUCAGGGAUGUGGCUCAAAACAAUCCAUGCCGGUGUCCAGCUAUUAACUUCCAUUAGAAUAACUAUGGAAGACUGGAGCCUUUAAAGACUUGAACGCCCAAAGUCUGUAAGGAACUGGGACUGAGCAUUUGAAGUGACUUGGAUCCCUAGAUCUCAGUAAAAAAAAAAAUCAGUGCUGGCACUGCUAAAAGAGCAAGACAAAGUCAUUCAAAAACCCGGGCCAAAAUGCUCACUGAUUUUCAAAUAGAUCUGUGUUCCUAAGUCACUUUGGCAGUUUUAAUUGUUUUACAAUUAAUGGUAACAAUUACCAGUCGUGCUGAACAUUUGAUCAUAUAAAGGCUUUUGUAUUGUUAUGGAAUACAGUUCAUGCCUAGUCUCCAAAACAAAUCAAAACCAUAUGAGUAACCAGGUUAAGAGACAACCAAGUUGUAACUAAGGUCCCUGGUGUGGCUUUUUUUUUGUAUUUCAGCCAUGGCCUGAGGCUCUUAGCAGAGAUUUUCUCUGUCCAGCUUGCGUAUUCAAACAUAAACAAUAAUAUUUUCAUCUUCAAGGAGCCCAAGUGAGAUUUUUAUAAUGCAAAUACAUUAGUUUGUUAAAAAGGUCUCUCAAUCAUCUGAAAGUGUGCAGCAGUUUACAUAUUAGUAUAUGUUUCUAAUUAAAGCUUGGAAGAGAAACACUUGAUGCACUUAGAACUAACACAAAUAAAAAUGUCUUUCUUACGUAUUUCUCAUUGUGAACAUCCAAACUGAAAAGAAAGUAACUCCUGAUCUCACAAAAGGUAACUGACUGAACAUUUGCCUUUUGUGAAAAAUGGCAGCUCUAUCUUGCUUUUUUACACCAGCAAGACAGAUUUCUCAAACAUCUCACUUGUUAUAGAAUUGUUAAGAGUAAAACACAAGUUUGCUGCACUCCAGGGUCUGCGAGGACUCAGCCUAACCUCAGACUUUACAGUCCUUCCUGAGGAGGUUGUUCCCAUGUGCAUGCACACAUGCUCUGCUCUUUGGAUGUAACGUGAAUUCGGUACUGUCUCUCUUACAUCUGUGAAAAAGCUACCCUGUGAGCUUGACAAAUGGUGUUACAGCAGCGCCUGUUUGAAAAUCAGUUGCGGUAUGACAAUCGCAUCGGGUCUAUUUGUAUUUAGGCUUAGCUUGUUGUCACAUCACAGUGACCUCUACCGAGGUUAGGUAUGUGAUGCACAUGGUUAGAAUAUAAAAACUUUUUUUCUCUUUUAAAUUUUUUAGUUUCCAAAAUGAAUUGUUUUCUUUUACUCUCCCUUUUUAAGUAUUUGCAAGGAGUAGCAUGAAAUUCAGAAUUUAAUUUUUUAACUUUUAUUUCCCCAUCUUAUCAAAACCCAGAGACACUUUGAAAGUUGGAAUGGAAAAGUUAGUUUCCAUUUGUCUCCCCUUUGCAAUUGCAAAAACUUUUCCAAAGCUGAAGAAGCUUUAAAAUACUAAACCAUACCAAACAGAAAUAUCUUACAUCUUAACAUUCAUUAGGUUGUAAUGGGUGACAGAGAAGGAAAAAUGAAGAAGUGGUCAUUCCCCUUUUUGAUUAAAAUUUGAGGAAAAAGAGAAUUAGAGAAACCAAUCUCCCUCAGAAAGUUUCCACAUUUGAAAGGUUUUUCAUACUAGAGCAAAGAAACCAGAUUAUAUUGUCCAGUAUAUGGUAGUAUAUCUGUAGCUCAAGCCAAUUCCAAACUUCUAAUGGAGGGGCUACCUCUACACUGGUUUUGCACAAGUGAAACAAAAUAAGAAACCGUUGUUGCUCACACGAAACUAAAAUAGCUACAAAAGGAAAAUAUCCUCAACCGAUGAUAGCAUAUCCAUGUGCACAGCUACUCGAGCCAUAUUGAGCGUCCAUAGUUUGAAGAUGUGGUUUGACCAUACACUGGCCAAAACGGGCGACUUGGCUUUUACAGAUGGUGCCAAGCGCGUGGAGAGCACAGCAUCUGGAGUUUGCUUCCACCUGCUGAUACACAUUAAACACAGCUCUCACGUUAUGGUGCAGCAUGUCUCAUUCAGUGCAUCAUUUCCACCAAAGGUUAGUAAUGAUAGGGAGCAUGCUUUUCCCUGAACAUAUUUAAAGCAUGUUAUCUCUACUGUAGUUCAAGCCUGAAGAAUCCUAGAAACUCACUUUUUCCCCCCCGAUUAAUUGCCUUUAAUCAUCAAAAACGAGGAGACCUAUAAUUUCUACCUGAACUCACCUCAUAAGGGCUCCUCCCCUAUUUAGAUAUCCUGAUGGCUUAGUCAGGUGACUACAAAUCAGCUGGGGGAGGGCACCUUGGGGACAAGGAUAAAGCCAGAAGGGGCUUGACUUGUUACUGGGAUGAAUUAAAGAACAUUGGCCGUGGAGUAGGGGCUACGUUUUUUUUGUUGGGAAAGAAGAAGAAGAAGAAAAAGAAAACGUGAAGCCAACAAGUUGGUAUUGACAAUUCUUAUGGCAAUUUAUCCUUAAGAAUUGCUACAAGUCCUACUACUAAAUACGAGGAGAAAUGGGGCAUACCCGUAAGUAAAAAAUUCCUCUAACUCCUGUAGAUUCAGUGAAGCAGAUGCUUUUUUAAGAGUCUCUGGUUUAAAAAACUCCUUUGCUUUUCCUUACUGUAACAUACAUCCUUGUUAUUUUGCUGGACUGAAGCGCUGAUGAAGUGACCCAUCCCAGUGGUUCCCACCGAGGUCAGGAAAAGCCCUUAGAGCAAAGGAAGCCGUGGCUGGAUGAGCCCAUGGAGACACCUGCUGGCAGGAUAAGUAGGACUGCCGUCUCUCCUCUGUGCAGUACAGCACAAGGUAUCGAUUAUCCUUGAUCUAAGCUUUGUGAUGAGCAAGACUAAAGUAAGAGAAAGGCCUUUCUUUGUGCAACUGGGUUUAUUGUAGCAGAAGUUUUCGAGCUUCUGGCUUGAAGCUUGGGCCUAAGCUUGAGUCCUCCUGACGUUACCCGGCCUUUCUAGAGUUAUUGCCAGCGUGCUGCUAGGCUGAGCCCACAGCUUGAGCUUCUUACCUACGUUACAGCUAAGUUAAAUAUUAGAAAGCUAUGCGCUGCAAGUAACACCCCCUUCAAGUUUUUUGGAGUUUGCCCUCCGUUCUCCUCCUCCUCAGAGAACGUGGGGGCGUAUCUGCAAGCCGAGCUGCUUUUCUGCAUUACUGAAAUGGCGCAGGUAAUCCCUACCGCCCUUCUAGGUGUCUGGCUGUUCAUGUCGUCCCUCUCACAUAUAUGUCUUUGUCCUGUUCCCAGAACGUUUCUCCCGUCGCUGCCAUGGCACCUUCGACUCGCUCAUUCCCUUCCCUAAACCCAGUCUGACUUUGAUUCCCUUGGGCGUUGUUCUGCGGCAGGAAGGAGCUACUGAAGCAGCAGUGUCCUGGAGAGCUCCUUCGCUUUCCGUGCGGAAGGAGUACAAUUUGUGAUAGCCUUCCAUAAAGAAAAGAGGAGCAAAGGCUAUGCCUGAUUUUCGUCAAUAUGAUUGUGUGUGUGACAAGGAAAGUAAUGCUCGUGCACAGGACGACACGAGGGCAAGAGCAGAGCUGCACGGAGCUGCCUGCGGGAGGGUAACGGCCUGCAUUAAAUGCUGCGUGUCAAGAUGCAAAGACAAACAGCUGGCAGGAGGGAAGAAAGCUGUAAUUGCAGCCAGCAGGCAACUCCCAGGUCAUCACCUACUACUGAGGCCCUUGGGACGGACAGCUGGAACAAGAGCGUUUUCCCUGGUAGCAAAGAAAUUUGUUUAUCAUCUUCUGGUUACAGCCUAAGGCUAUAGCCAGGAUUCAGUUUCUGAAAGGCAGGUCCACCACCCCAAAUAGGCACCUGCUAUGCUGAGCGUCCAGAGCAGCUUAGCCUCAUCGGCCCAGCUUUUCGAAUGUGUGUAAUCGUUUAAUGCCUGCCGUGCUGUAAGCCCUUUUUCUAAACAGGGAAAGUUAAAACAGGCCAGGCCUUGGGUGCUUUUUGAUAAUUUCACUAGCCACUAGUCCACAUCUGAAGCACCUUAUCUUUUAAAAUUUGGACUUGUAUGGGGUGCUAGAUGGUACCAACCAAACAGUUCUGACAUCUAAACUGCCUUCCUUGGAUCUCAUGUUGAAAGAUUUGGUUACUUGAGUCCAGAGGUCACUCAAGCUUAUGGAGUGGCUAUUCCGCAUGGAAUGUCUUUAAAGACAAAUACACCGGAUAAUCAGAAAUAAUUUGCACAGACUUUGUUACCCUGCUCAGUUACACGCGAGUGCUGCCAUUGCUUCCUCUGUGCAGUUCCUCGAAAGCCUGCGGCUUCGUCUGAGGAGAUAACAGCUACGGGUCUCCUUUCUCAUGAGGUCGACCAGAACUUAGAGGCGUGCCUGACACCCAUCAAUGUCUGGCUUCAGCUGAUGUUCCCCACCUCUCUAUUUUCCAACUAAUUACUGAAUUUCUCAUGCUUAUUUUCUCACAGUAUGUACUCUUUAUGGUGACGUCAAAGAUGAUCUCUUUUAGAAGUGUUAACACUGCAAUGUAUGUUAAAGGGUAAUAUCUAAAUCAAUCCUUGUGUAUUUUGAAAAUUCUACACACAUUAGUCACAUUGAUAUGUGAGAUAUGGCAGGUCCUCAUACAAUGAGAAUAUGCUACCUUCAUUUUUCCAGCAGUGUUAUAAUGAUUUGCCUCAUCAGAAGAAGUAUUUUUUAAGUGGAGUUGUCCUCAGCAUAGUCUUUGAUUAUUGAACACGUGGAGAAGGUGAGCAGUAACCAGCUGCUUCCUGUCGUGCAGGCGAAGUAGGAAACGGUGGGUUCAAAAUGGUAAAAAGGAGACAGUUCUUCACAAAAUGUUAUAGUUAAAUUGCGGCGAUCUUUUCUGCUGAAUGCAUCAUAGUGCACUUGGCAAAUCUAUAGUAACAGGUCUAAGAACAGUAACAAUGAAAGAUUUAUAAGGAUAAUCACAGCAGACAUAGCACUCCUGUCUCGGCUGAGGAUGGAUUCUUGGAAGGCCAGAGUCUAAUUUUAUGAAGUGACUUUUUCACUUAAGUUUAAUAGUUAUGAAAGGCUUUCUUGUGGUAGGAACACUAACUUGAAAGAGUUUCUUCAAGGAGCUGCUACAGUACUAAAUUUGCUUUCAUUUAGGUGGUUUUCCCUUUGGUAUGUUUAUUUUCCAACAGUGACUUGGCUUUAACAGAAGGGAAAAGGAGAUUGUGGAGAUGAACGUGGAAAAAGAUAAAUCUCAAAGCUGCUAUAUUUUUGUGGGCCACCCACUUUGGUCAGGAAGUGGAUUUCAAACGGAGUGCAGUCUCAAGUUGAUAGCUGACUUGGUUAGGGGUAAAAGAUAGUUGUGUUUUGCCUUAUUUUUUAGUAGCUUUACAAAAUAGUUUGUUUUAUGCAAGAGUUAUGAAAUGUUCUUUCAAUUCUAUUCUCUGUCAGGAACCUCUUGUCUCUGUACUAGAUUUAUGCACUCAAUUGCAGCCUUUCUGGUGGGAUACGUAAUUCAGGUUUUAUAACAGAGUGAAAGUACAAAGGCUCAAAUUUUAUUACAGUAGUACCUUUUUGCUGGUCUGUAUGUUAUGCGUUUUUAAACGAAGAAAGGUCAAAAUACUACACCACCCCAGAGAGCGGCACGUGAUGUCUUUAUCUGAAGAAUAGAAAUAAUGUUGUAUGUGUGUAUACCAAGAUUUACUAUAAGGAUAAAGGCAUUAGAGCUGUGAGGUUUUUCCUUAGCAUGACCAAGAUGCUUAGUAACAACUAUCAGAUACUGGUUAACACUCAAACAGUAACUGAUUAAGUUGCCUUACACGUAACAGUUUCAGAAACUGCAGCUUU